UUAGUUGGGGGUCUCUUUCGGCGGCGGCUGCUGGCUUCAUUGCUGGCGGCUGCUGUUGGGAGAGCUCUAUCAUGGCGAGCGUUUGGGCUUCGGUCUGAACUAGUAGCUUUUUUAAACCCAUUCUUUAUAACUGAUUAUACUGUAGGGACGAAAGUCUCUGCUUUUAACUAGAUAGCAACUUUCAGCAGUGGAUGUCUAGGCUCGCACAUCGAUGAAGAACGCUGCGAACUGCGAUACGUAAUGCGAAUUGCAGGAUUCAGUGAGUCAUCGAAAUUUUGAACGCAUAUUGCACUUCCGGGUUAGUCCUGGGAGUAUGCCUGUAUCAGUGUCCGUACAUCAAACUUGGUUUUCUUCCUUCCGUGUAGUCGGUGGUGGAUGUGCCAGAUGUGAAGUGUCUUGCGGCUGGUCUUCGGAUCGGCUGUGAGUCCUUUGAAAUGUACUGAACUGUACUUCUCUUUGCUCCAAAAGCGUGGCGUUGCUGAUUGUGGAGGCUGCUUGCGUAGCCAGUCUGGCGACCAGUUUGUCUGCUGUGGCGUUAAUGGAGGAGUGUUCGAUUCGCGGUAUGGUUGGCUUCGGCUGAACAGACGCUUACUGAAUAUUUCUUCAGCUGUGGUGGUAUGA
rnacentral:rRNA from 1 species